CCUACGGGGGGCAGCAGUGGGGAAUAUUGGACAAUGGGGGGAACCCUGAUCCAGCCAUGCCGCGUGUGUGAAGAAGGCCCUCGGGUUGUAAAGCACUUUCAGUGAGGAAGAACGCCUGGUGGUUAAUACCCAUCAGGAAAGACAUCACUCACAGAAGAAGCACCGGCUAACUCCGUGCCAGCAGCCGCGGUAAUACGGAGGGUGCGAGCGUUAAUCGGAAUUACUGGGCGUAAAGCGCGCGUAGGUGGCUUGAUAAGCCGGUUGUGAAAGCCCCGGGCUCAACCUGGGAACGGCAUCCGGAACUGUCAAGCUAGAGUGCAGGAGAGGAAGGUAGAAUUCCCGGUGUAGCGGUGAAAUGCGUAGAGAUCGGGAGGAAUACCAGUGGCGAAGGCGGCCUUCUGGACUGACACUGACACUGAGGUGCGAAAGCGUGGGUAGCAAACAGGAUUAGAUAUCCUGGUAGUC
rnacentral:rRNA from 1 species